GGUCAGUGAUGAUUGGUAAAAGGUCUGAUUGCACUGAAUGUCACAGCGCCGUCUCGUCACUCAACUCCCAGCAGCCCGUUUUCUUUUUCCUAGCACAUUUAAGUCAUGUGUGGGAGGGUAGGGCAGCUGACAAUGUAGGAUUCUGUCGGCAUGUGUUCCAAGAGUGCCUGGUUCUCAGCUGACUAAUGUCCAACAGAGUCACUUACACAGGAGUCUUGGUGAGUGGCAGGCAGGGUGUGACAGUGCAUGACCUCAAGUUUUCAAUCUGAGACC
ensembl:scaRNA